GGGCGAUUGGCUCAGCGGUAGAGCGCUUCGUUCACACCGAAGAGGUCACUGGUUCGAUCCCAGUAUCGCCCACCA
rnacentral:tRNA from 3 species